GCAAGUCGAGCGCGAAAGCCUUUCGGGGUGAGUAGAGCGGCGGACGGGUGAGUAACGCGUAGGAAUCUACCUGGUAGUGGGGGACAACUUGGGGAAACUCAAGCUAAUACCGCAUACGCCCUAAGGGGGAAAGCAGGGGAUCUUCGGACCUUGCGCUAUUGGAAGAGCCUGCGUUGGAUUAGCUAGUUGGUGGGGUAAAGGCCCACCAAGGCGACGAUCCAUAGCUGGUCUGAGAGGAUGAUC
rnacentral:rRNA from 1 species